GUGUUUGCUUUGACAGCACAUAUACAAAAAUUGGGCAAUAGAGAGAAGACUAGCCUGGUCUCUGCUCAAGGAUGACAUUCACAUUCAUGAGAUGUUUCAUUUUUUU
ensembl:snRNA U6 U6 spliceosomal RNA